UUUCCCUAAUUUCAGGAACUUCAUAAACCCUGACAUCUCAUACCCUUAUUGCUCUCAUCUUGUGUACAGGUUGGAUUUCUUUGACAGGAACAAACAUGGAAGGCAUGAUGCAAUAUUGUGGCUGCUACUGGAAUGUGAAAUGUGGCUGAGAGAGGUUAGUUUAUAAAUUUAUGCUUGGGAAAUGAAUAGACAUUUAAUUAGCCGGCUAUACUUGCAUUGGUAUUACAAAGCAAUAAAAAUUUAUUGUACAAAGCAAAAA